GAUGAAGAACGUAGCGAAAUGCGAUAAGUAGUGUGAAUUGCAGAAUUCAGUGAAUCAUCGAAUCUUUGAACGCACAUUGCGCCCCUUGGUAUCCCGAGGGGCAUGCCUGUUCGAGCGUCAUUAAGUCCACUUAAGCCCUGCUUAGUGUUGGGAGACUGCUCCAGCGGUGCUACCCUGUAGCUACCCUGCAGCUCCUCAAAGACAGCGGCGGAGUUGUGGUAUCCUCUGAGCUUAGUAACUUGUUCUAGCUUUCGAGUACACCACUUCCCCUGCCGUAAAACCCUUAAUUUUUAAUGGUUGACCUCGGAUCAGGUAGGAAUACCCGCUGAACUUAAGCAUAUCAAUAAGCGGAGGA
rnacentral:misc_RNA from 1 species